GACGAACGCUGGCGGCGUGCUUAACACAUGCAAGUCGAGCGGUAAGGCCCUUUUGGGGGUACACGAGCGGCGAACGGGUGAGUAACACGUGGGUGACCUGCCCUCAGCUCUGGGAUAAGCCUGGGAAACUGGGUCUAAUACUGGAUAUGACCUUUCCUCGCAUGGGGUUGGGUGGAAAGUUUUUUCGGCUGGGGAUGGGCCCGCGGCCUAUCAGCUUGUUGGUGGGGUGAUGGCCUACCAAGGCGACGACGGGUAGCCGGCCUGAGAGGCGACCGGCCACACUGGGACUGAGACACGGCCCAGACUCCUACGGGAGGCAGCAGUGGGAAUAUUGCGCAAUGGGCGGAAGCCUGACGCAGCGACGCCGCGUGGGGAUGACGGCCUUCGG
rnacentral:rRNA from 1 species